ensembl:lncRNA
UGGUUAAAGAAAUUACAGCCACUUUGACCUGAGGCAUUCCCCAAGUAAAAUGGGUACUAAAAUGAAACGUCUUUCAGUCAGUACCCUGAAAUUUCGUGUGCCCAAGAUGUGUGAUCCAUCUUAUCAGAGGGCCUCCUACGUACUGGAUUUGAAUCACGACCUACCAGCAUCAUAGGACCACUCUCACUGCCUGCAUGACCUCCAGUGACUACCACAGAGACGUGGAAAGACAGGGCUUUUGGGUUGAGUAGUCAUGCACCAAUGAGCCCCAACAAGGCCAGUGAAGCUCAGAAGAUGGGUCCCAAUAUUUCCCAGCAGAAUUCCAAUUUACACAGGCCAAUUUAUAAAACUGCCCCAGAAGAUAAACUUCUAGGGAGGGGCCAUUGGAGCACACAGUUCAAAGAAGGCAGGCCAUGUGGCUGAGGCCAGAACAGUACCCUCAGGACCUGGGCCUCCUCUCCCAUAACCCAUCUUCCCUUGUAGGAAAAGGCUCUUAAGGUUGUGACACCUGCCAUUGACUACUUGGGCCUGGAACUGCUUUAACUAUGAUCUUCUAGACAGAAAAGUCCUGCCAGAGAGAGCCAAUCCUGAGCAGGACAAAUUAUACACCAAACACAAAGUCAUCGCCUUCAGCUUCUGAAUUACCCCAAGAGGGGCCACCAAGUCAAGACUGACUCCACCAGGGAUUUGAACCAGGAACCUUGCAGUUGCAAGCCCUGCACCUUAACCAACUGUGCAAAUAGACCACAGGUGUUAAGGAAGGGCAGAAAGCUUUCUUGAGCUGUAAUUUGAAUAGGAAUGCUGCACCCUGAGGCACUGUGGCCUGCCUCAAAGCCGGGUGGGGCUGACGGUCAUCAGCAGCUUCAGCUGCUUCCUUCCCUCAGAGUUGCCCCAGCUGAGGAAAAAAGCCCCUUGCUGAGUCAGUUGAAAAGCCUUGUUCACAGCUGCUGCUGGGCCCUCGUGAGUGCCCCCGUGGCUUUCAGUCGCCAUGUUGACGCUGCCAGAACCACUUGCACGCCUGGGCCACUUCCUGAGCUACUGCCCACACAGGGACCCGUUGCUGGCAGCAAACGCCCCGGGGAGCCUUUUGGCCCUGCGACCUGGGACUGGGGCAUGCCAGAGAGGCCGGCCAGAGCCCCCCGCAGGCUCCGGUUGUGCAUUGCUCCCCUCCGCUGUUUUCUCCAGCCUGGCUGCCCGCUGGGUUCCGCCCCUGGGGCUGGGCUGCCCCCGACCUGCAGGGAGAGAAAGCCCCAGGGGCAGCACUUGCCCUCUGCCCCGCAGGCUCCCUCAGGUUUUGCUCCUAGAGAUGAUAUCCGAAGGAUAGAGAAGGAGACGGAAAGCAGAGAGAGAGCUGGAAGAUGGAUUCUCACUCUGCACCUAGUGGUGCAAUCUCAGCUCACUGCAACCUCUGCCUCCUGGGUUCAAGCGAUUCUCCUGCCUCAGCCUCCAGAGUAGCUGGGAUUACAGGUGAGUGCCGCCAUACCCAGCUAAUUUUUGUAUUUUUGGUAGAGAAUACUACCACUGUGUUGGCCAGGCUGGUGUUGAAUUCCUGGCCUCAAGUAAUGAGCCCUCCUCAGCCUCCAAAAGUGCUAGGAUUUCAGGCAUGAGCCACUCACUGCACCUGGCCCCAAAUAUUUCAUUUAAUUGCUCAUAAGCUUCUCCUUUCACAAAACACUAGGGCACAAACAUAAUUCUGGAACGUUCUUUGUUAUUUUAUAAGAAGGAUGGCCUUUCAUCCAGUUUCCAUUAACAUGUUCCUUAUUUUAUCUGAGACCUUAUCAGGAGGUCUUUAUCAUACCAUCCAUAGAUUACCAACAUUCUGAUCACAACCACUAAAAUAAUCUCUAAGAAGACCGAGGCUUUCUCUAUAGCUUUCCACUGCUUUUGAACUUUCACCAGAAUCACACUUUAUGGUUCGCUAGUGGCAACAUAGGCUUUUUCUAGUCCACUGCUCCAAACUCUUCUGGCCUUUGCCCAUUAUCCAGUUCCAAACCAAUGUAUGCAGUGAAAACAGUGGUAUGUGGGAAAUUUAUAGCUAUAAACACAUUAAAAAACAAGAUAGAUCUCAAACAACCUAACUGUACAAAUGCAGGAAUUUGAAAGAGAAGAACAAACUAAACUCAAGGCUGCAGAAGGAAGGAAAUAAUAAAGACUAGAACAGAGAUAUAGAAAAUAAAUAAUAGAAAAACAAUACACAAAAGCAAUGAAAACAAAAAUUAGUUAUUUGAGAUCAACAAAAUUGACAAACCUUUAAGUAGAUGGACUAAGAAAAAAAAUACUGGUGUUACUAAAAUCAGAAAUACAAGUGGGAACAUUACCGAUUCUACAGAAAUAAAAAGGAUUAUAAGAGAAUAUCAUGAGUGGCAUUCCAACAAAUAUACUCCAAAUGGUAUUCUAACAAAUGUACUCCAACAAAUUGGGUAACCUAGAUGAAAUGGACAGAUUUCAAUAAAUACAAAAUUGACCAGCAUAAAAAAGAAAUAGAAAAUCUGAAUAGAUCAAUAGUAAGGAAAUUGGAAUCAAUAAUCAAUAAACUCCUGGCAGAGAAAAGCCCUGGACCUGAUGGCUUCACCAGUUACCAGUGAACUCUACCACAAAUCCUUUUUUGUUUAGAGACAGAGUCUUGCUCUGUCCCCUAAGCUGGAGUGAGUGAAGUGAUCUCGGCUCACUGCAACCUCCACCUCCUGAGUUCCAGUGAUUCUUCUGCCUCAGCCUCCAGAGUAGCUGGGAUUACAGGCACCUGCUACCAUAUCUGGCUAAUUUUUGUAUUUUUUUGUAGUGAUAGGGUUUCACCCUGUUGGCCAGGCUGGUGUCAAACUUCUGACCUCAGGUGAUCUGCCUGCCUUGGCCUCCCAAAGUGCUGGGAUUACAGCCAUGAGCCACUGUGCCUGUCCCUAACACUCAUCGUUAUUAAACCUUUCCAAAAAUGCUGAAGGGGAGGGAAUACUUCCUAACGCAUUCCAUGAGGCUGGUAUUAUCUUGAUGCCAAAACAAGACAAUGACAUUAUAAGAAAAGAAAACUACAGACGAUAUGUCCUGUGAACAUUGAUGCAAAAACUGUCAACAAAAUACCCGCAAACUAAAUUCAGCAGUGUAGGAAAAGGAUUAUCCACUGUGACCAGGCCAGAUUUAUUCCUGAAAUGCAAGGAUGGAUCAAUUCACAAAAUUAAAUCAAUGUAAU